AGAGUUUGAUCAUGGCUCAGAGCGAACGCUGGCGGUAUGCUUAACACAUGCAAGUCGAGCGAGAAAAUGACUUCGGUCAUGAGUACAGCGGCGGACGGGUGAGUAAUACAUGGAUAAUCUGCCUUUAGGACCGGGACAACCCAGGGAAACUUGAGCUAAUACCGGAUAAGACCACAGAAUCUCCGGAUUCAGUGGUAAAAGGUGGCUUCGGCUAUCACCUAGAGAUGAGUCCAUGUCCCAUCAGGUAGUUGGUGAGGUAACGGCUCACAAAGCCUAAGACGGGUAGCCGACCUUAGCGGGUGAUCGGCCACACGGGGACUGAGACACGGCCCCGACUCCUACGGGAGGCAGCAGUGGGGAAUAUUGGACAAUGGGCGCAAGCCUGAUCCAGCAAUACCGCGUGAGGGAUGAAGGCUUUCGAGUCGUAAACCUCUGUCAGUUGGAACGAUGGGUCUAAAGGUUAAUACCCUUUAGACUUGACGGUACCUUCAAAGGAAGCCCCGGCUAACUCCGUGCCAGCAGCCGCGGUAAUACGGAGGGGGCAAGCGUUGCUCGGAAUUACUGGGCGUAAAGGGUCCGCAGGUGGCUUUGUAAGUUAGAUGUGAAAUCUCAGGGCUCAACCCUGAAACUGCAUCUAAUACUGCUUAGCUUGAGUACAGGAGAGGUUGGCGGAAUUCCCGGUGUAGCGGUGAAAUGCGCAGAUAUCGGGAGGAACACCAGUGGCGAAGGCGGCCAACUGGCCUGUUACUGACACUCAGGGACGAAAGCGUGGGGAGCGAACGGGAUUAGAUACCCCGGUAGUCCACGCCCUAAACGAUGAAUGCUAGGUGUAGGGAUGAAAAUCUCUGUGCCGUAGUUAACGCAUUAAGCAUCCCGCCUGGGGAGUACGAUCGCAAGAUUUAAACUCAAAGGAAUUGGCGGGGGCCCGCACAAGCGGUGGAGCAUGUGGUUUUAAUUC
rnacentral:rRNA from 1 species